rnacentral:rRNA from 1 species
AAAUAGAUCGUUAAAGGGUGUAGUUAUAGGUUGAGUAGGCAAAUCCGCUCGACUUGACGAACCUGAUAGUACUAAAAGGCUUCGGCCGGAUAGAUAGUGCCCCUAAUCAUGCUCACGAGAAAAACUUCUAAGGUUAGGCUAUUACAACCCGUACCGUAAACCGACACAGGUAGUCGAGAUGAGUAUUCUAAGGCGCUCGGGUGAGCCGCGGAGAAGGAACUAGGCAAAUUAACGCUGUAACUUCGGGAUAAAGCGUACCACAGCGAUGUGGUCACAGUAAAAUGGUGCAACCAACUGUUUAGCAAAAACACAGGGCCCUGCAAAAUCGAAAGAUGACGUAUAGAGCCUGAUACCUGCCCGGUGCUGGAAGGUUAAGGAAGCUUGUUCGCAGCAAUGCAAAGCUUGUGACCGAAGCCCCAGUAAACGGCGGCCGUAACAAUAACGGUCCUAAGGUAGCGAAAUUCCUUGUCGGGUAAGUUCCGACCUGCACGAAUGGUCUAAUGAGUUGCACACUGUCUCCUCCGCGAGCCCGGUGAAAUUGUAGUAUCGGUGAAGAUGCCGGUUACCCGCCACGGGACGAAAAGACCCCGUGAACCUUCACUACAACUUUACAUUGAUUUUGAGUAACAGAUGUGUAGCAUAGUUGGGAGACUGCGAAGCGGGUGCGCCAGCACUUGUGGAGUCACCGUUGAAAUACCAACCUUCUGUUGCUUAGAGUCUAAUCCCUAACGGGAGACAUUGUAUGGUGGGUAGUUUGACUGGGGUGGUCGCCUCCUAAAAAGUAACGGAGGCUCGCAAAGGUGCCCUCAGUACGGUUGGUAAUCGUACGUAGAGCGUAUUAGUAUAAGGGCGCUUGACUGUGAGGCUGACCAGCCGAGCAGGUGCGAAAGCAGGCUAAAGUGAUCCGGUGGUUCUGUAUGGAAGGGCCAUCGCUCAAAGGAUAAAAGGUACUCCGGGAUAACAGGCUGAUCUCCCCCAAGAGCUCAUAUCGACGGGGAGGUUUGGCACCUCGAUGUCGGUUCGUCACAUCCUGGGGCUGGAGAAGGUCCCAAGGGUUGGGCUGUUCGCCCAUUAAAGCGGCACGUGAACUGGGUUCAGAACGUCGCAAGACAGUUCGGUCUCUAUCUGUGGUGGGCGUUAGUAAAUUGCGAGGACAUGCUCUUAGUACGAGAGGACCGGAGUGUAUGUACCGCUGGUGUAUCUGUUGUGCCGCCAGGCGCAGUGCAGAGUAGCUAUGUACAGUCAAGAUAAGCGCUGAAAGCAUCUAAGCGCGAAACUUUCCUCAAGAUGAGUUUACUUUUAAGGGCCGUCAAAGACUAUGACGUUGAUAGGCUACAGGUGUAAAGGUGGUAACAUCAAAGCCGAGUAGUACUAAUUGCCCGUAAGCUUUAAAAA